rnacentral:rRNA from 1 species
GACGAACGCUGGCGGCGUGCUUAACACAUGCAAGUCGAACGGAAAGGCCCUGCUUUUGUGGGGUGCUCGAGUGGCGAACGGGUGAGUAACACGUGAGUAACCUGCCCUUGACUUUGGGAUAACUUCAGGAAACUGGGGCUAAUACCGGAUAGGAGCUCCUGCUGCAUGGUGGGGGUUGGAAAGUUUCGGCGGUUGGGGAUGGACUCGCGGCUUAUCAGCUUGUUGGUGGGGUAGUGGCUUACCAAGGCAUUGACGGGUAGCCGGCCUGCGAGGGUGACCGGCCACAUUGGGACUGAGAUACGGCCCAGACUCCUACGGGAGGCAGCAGUGGGGAAUAUUGCACAAUGGGCGGAAGCCUGAUGCAGCAACGCCGCGUGCGAGAUGACGGCCUUCGGGUUGUAAACCGCUUUCGCCUGUGACGAAGCGUGAGUGACGGUAAUGGGUAAAGAAGCACCGGCUAACUACGUG